UCCUAGAGCAUGUCCACUGCCCUUCUUCAUAAUUAGGUCACAUCUAAGCUGGAAUCAGUCUCAGACAGGUGCACAGACAUGAGGGUCCCAAAACUACUUCUGGUGUUGCAGCUGCUCUGGCUUACAGGUGCCAGAUGUGACACUCAGAUGACCCAAUCUCCAGCCUCUCUGUCUAUAUCUCUGGGAGACAGUGUCACCAUCACAUGCCAAUCAAGUGAGGACAUUUACACUAAAUUAGCAUGGUAUCAGCAGGAAACAGGGAAACCUCCUAAGCUCCUCAUCUAUGAUGCAAACAGAUUGGAAGAUGGGGUCCCAUCGAGGUUCAGUGGCAGUGGAUCUGGCACACAGUAUUCUCUCAAGAUCAGCAGUCUGCAGCCUGAAGAUGUGUCAACUUAUUUCUGUCAACAAUAUGACAACUAUCCUCCCACAGUGAUUCAAGUCAUAACAUAUACCUCCAAAGAAGCAGAAGCGUAUAGCAUGGCUGCCCCAGACAUUCCCUGGGGGGUCAUAUAG